GGAAAAUGUAAACAAUAUUAUGUUUCUGUGUUACAACGAUAGCCUAUAAAAUUCCAUGGAAACAUGAGAAAAGAGAUAAAAAUGUGUAUUCUAAAUAUAUUUGUGGCAAUUCAAUUAGGCGUACUUUGUUUUGUGUUGGCGAGAAAUUAUCCUAUUUACGAGAGUCCGUUUGCUAUCACAUGGUUCCUAUUCAAUUUACUCGUGGCACUAGCAUUAUGUCUAUUGACAUGCAUUCGAAGGGAGCCAACAAAUCGAAAGAAUAAAUUGUGGUACGAUGUCAUAGCGUUUGUGUUGUGCGAAGUAUGUGAUUUGUUAUCGGUUAUUAUGUUUUUGCGAGUGUGUCGAGACAUUCCAAUCGAUCGAUGGGUUCAUGCAUCGAAUUUCUUAUGGAUUUCCGUAGUUUCUUCUUUGAAAUUGAUGAGCAUGGUGAAUCACUUGAUGCUCAUUCAUUACACAAUUUUUGGGGCUUAACUCUAUAUUUUCUUUUCAAGACACAAGAGCAAUUAUUGCAACGGACUGCAACGCAUCGAGUAAUUUUAUAUAUUCUCUGUUGUACCAUUGGAUAUGCAUUACUCGUUAAGUCAUUCCUUAGCAUCUUUUAUGAAACGGACUUUUUAAUUAUUUUUUCCAUAAUUAUCAUUGCUAUGAAACACAAACACUAUUUAUCAAAAGGAAAUGAAUCCAAUGCAGAGAACUUUCUGAUCAAUCGAAUCAUGACUGCUUCCAAUCAAAAAAUGUACUGGGAAUCACUUUGCUUUCUUCCAUUCACGGUGCUCUUCCUAUUUAAAGAAUAUGCUCAUAGUAGAACUGAAACCGAAAGUAAAAUAUAUAGAGAGCAAAUCAAAAGGCAAACAGAAGAAUUCCUUCCCUAUAUCCUGGUCGUAGCUGUGGCGCUCGGUUUCUCAUUUGUGCGAGAUGCUUGGAUAAAAGAACGAAUUGACCCACACAGUCGGUGGAUUCAAGCUGAUGAAGAAGUGCAGAUCUAGUGAUAUUUUCGAAGCAGCCUAGGCAAAUAUUUGAUUAAACGAAGGUUAACAAACAAUGUUUCGUUUUGUGUUUUCAACAUUUCCUUCUAUAAGGGAAAUUAGAAUUUAUUCAUUUUUUCAUGUAGUAAUUUGACUCUUAUCUCGCAGGGAUGAAUUGAAGCACAAAUCUAAAUAGUUGAGGUGUAAUUGUUUGACAAAUGGAAAAAUGAUGGAAUAAAAGUGGAAGUG